rnacentral:sRNA from 1 species
GCUGGGUGUGGUGGCGCAUGCCUGUAAUCCCAGAGGCUCAAGAGGCUGGGGCAGGAGGAUCGCAAGUUCAAAGCCAGCCUUAGCAACAGCUAGGUGCUAAACAACUCAGUGAGACCCUGUCUCUA